rnacentral:sRNA from 2 species
GUUUAUUAAGUGCUGAAUCCAGACGAGCAUAACGUUUGGUACGGGGGAGCUUUAUAUGGGGUGAAUGUUUCUUCUUGUAAACUAGGAAAUACCUCUUUCCGAAUCCGUCAACUAACCUCGGAAGCAACAGGGAGGAUAA